UUUUUAAAGGGAUGAGCCAACCUUUCCUCUGAAACUUCACGUGAAUUUGUCAGCUGUAUGAGCGGAGUUAGCACUGGCUUUCAGCUGCAUGGCUUCCGGGAAGACUGCUCUCAUGUAUCCUCGCUUAGCUCCUCA